UUUCAUUUCUUCUCACUUGGACAACAAGAGAAAGAAAGGAGAAUGAAGAAGAAGAAGAGAAGAGAAGAGAAGAAGAGAAGGGAAGAGAGGGAGAUCAAGAAGGAGAUCGACUUACUCAGGUUGCUGUUGGAAGAUUCAGUAAACAGGAGAUCCUAAUAGCUAUGUGGGAGCUUAUUCAGUACCAGGAAGGGAGUUGAUUAUUUCAGAUUCUCAAAAUGAGGAGAGGAGUCACUUACAGAUUACCAGUUCAGAGUAUGAGGCUAUGGCCUUGGAUUAGUUGACUUGUGUACAAGAUGAUGAUUUCAGCCAUGGACCUGAUUACAAGUGUGAUGACUGUGUAUAUAGUGGACAACAUUAUUGAGGACUGAUAUACCUAGUUAUUCUUUUGUAUAUAUAUAAACAGUGGUAGGAACCAGUUUUUGUUGGUUGAGACUACAGGUGGGAGACAGUAUAGACAAGUGGGAGAUAUGUUGAUGGUUGGACAGGUGGGAGACAGGUUUGAUAGUUUAUAAUACAGAUGGGGAAACAUUCUUUUUGCGUAAAUAUUUGGAUAUAAUGGGAUGACUGUAAUAUAUAUUUGGAUUUAGUGAACAUGAUAUUGUGAAUCUUUGCAUAUUUGGUAUCAGUUAUCACAUAGAGGCACUGGAUAAAUAUGAAAUUUUACUUGAUCAAA